AAACGACGGCUAAUACCGCAUAAUGUCUACGGACCAAAGGUGGCCUCUACAUGUAAGCUAUCGCGUUGGGAUGGGCCCAGUUAGGAUUAGCUAGUUGGUAAGGUAAUGGCUUACCAAGGGGACGAUCCUUAGGUUGUUUGAGAGGAUGAUCAGCCACACUGGGACUGAGACCCGGCCCAGAUUCCUACGGGAGGCAGCAGUGGGGAAUAUUGCACAAUGGGGGAGACCCUGAUGCAGCCAUGCCGCGUGUGUGAAGAAGGCCUUCGGGUUGUAAAGCACUUUCAGCAGUGAGGAAGGUUGUGUACUUAAUACGUGCAUUGCUUGACGUUAGCUGCAGAAGAAGCACCGGCUAACUCCGUGCCAGCAGCCGCGGUAAUACGGAGGGUGCGAGCGUUAAUCGGAAUUACUGGGCGUAAAGCGCAUGCAGGCGGUUUGUUAAGUCAGAUGUGAAAGCCCGGGGCUCAACCUCGGAACCGCAUUUGAAACUGGCAGGCUAGAGUCUUGUAGAGGGGGGUAGAAUUUCAGGUGUAGCGGUGAAAUGCGUAGAGAUCUGAAGGAAUACCAGUGGCGAAGGCGGCCCCCUGGACAAAGACUGACGCUCAGAUGCGAAAGCGUGGGUAGCAAACAGGAUUAGAUACCCUGGUAGUCCACGCCGUAAACGCUGUCUACUUGGAGGUUGAGGUUUAAGACUUUGGCUUUCGGCGCUAACGCAUUAAGUAGACCGCCUGGGGAGUACGGCCGCAAGGUUAAAACUCAAAUGAAUUGACGGGGGCCCGCACAAGCGGUGGAGCAUGUGGUUUAAUUCGAUGCAACGCGAAGAACCUUACCUACUCUUGACAUCCAGAGAACUUUCCAGAGAUGGAUUGGUGCCUUCGGGAACUCUGAGACAGGUGCUGCAUGGCUGUCGUCAGCUCGUGUUGUGAAAUGUUGGGUUAAGUCCCGCAACGAGCGCAACCCUUAUCCUUGUUUGCCAGCACGUAAUGGUGGGAACUCCAGGGAGACUGCCGGUGAUAAACCGGAGGAAGGUGGGGACGACGUCAAGUCAUCAUGGCCCUUACGAGUAGGGCUACACACGUGCUACAAUGGCAGAUACAGAGGGCAGCGAAGCUGCGAAGUGGAGCGAAUCCCUUAAAGUCUGUCGUAGUCCGGAUUGGAGUCUGCAACUCGACUCCAUGAAGUCGGAAUCGCUAGUAAUCGUGGAUCAGAAUGCCACG
rnacentral:rRNA from 1 species